UCGGACGUGGUGCACGGCGCACACCCGCUUUCCGUAAAUAUCUGGUAAAACUGCGGCGGGAAGCCUGGGUUCGACUCCCAGCGUCCGAA